UGAGGGCCACCUAUGCCUGUGUUACAUUCUGUACUGUGAGUGGCUCCUUGGCUCUUCAAAAGGGCUGUUAAAUGCAGUUAGGGAAUUUGGAUCCCUUAUUCAGAAUGUGGAAAAGAAGCUCCACCCAUCUGUGCUUGUAGUCUACUUCCUUUCAUUUGUUUACGAGACAAAAUGGAGUUGAUCUGGAAGCAGUUUUGGAGGAGGAAAAUCAUAUGUCUUUCCAGACCAUCAAGUAUUGUUGAACUUAUUAUUGCUUGAAGACAGAGUCAUGAUCUGGCCAGAGGGAAGUUUUGAACUGUAAUGUAAAAUGAAAUCCCUUUGGCCUGAGAUUGCACUGCACCAGGAUGUUCCACCCAGCCUGGGCAGGACAGUCACACUGCAGGAUGAGUCUGGUGGGACCGAUCAGGAUAUUGCCUGUUUCCACAGCCCUGGAUGGCCACAAGACACCCUUUGUAUACCAUUACUCUCUCUACUUCAGACUUUGCCGCUGCAAGUUUUAUUUUGCAGCUGCGAGAAGAACAAAAUAAAUCUUCAUUCUGGGGAUGGCAAAAUUCCCUGUAGCCUGCACGCUGAAAAGCCUUGGGCUCGCUGUGCUGCCACAUCUUGUUCUACUUAAACUACUGCUUUUAAUAGACCCAAAAUGUUUGCUUUGGAAAAGGUGUUUUCACGUCCUCCAGCAGAGCCACGUGCACUGGUUUGUUUGUGUCAGACAUGGCCUGGCCCCGGGCUGUGCUGCCAGGGUUGUGCUGGAUCAGCUCACAAGGUACCAUCACCAUCCAACCACCCAACUGGACAUUUCCUUAGACUUCAGUCCAGUGGAAGCUGGAGAUUGUUUAGAGUGGGUUGAAAUGUCUCAUGAAAGCACAUUUCAGAUACCUGUUCCUACCUUUAAUUAACCCUUUAAUAUGGGACUUGUCCAUAAGGAUCCAUAAAAGAUUUUGGGAGUUGCAUUAAGAAUAAUUGGUAAUUUUUCACGCUGA